AAUGAUCUGGAUCAUUGACUGAUAGAUGCGUCCAACAUCAUGAAGACAACCUGUAGAGGUCCAGCUGUCAUGCUGGUUAUUGCAUGCUGUUCAGCUUGUGUUAAUGCUACUAAAUUUAAGGUGUCCAAACAGUGAGUGAAUGUCAGCGACAACCUUCAACAUUAGGAGGCAAACCAAAGAUAGACGGGUCCUACAGUGUUCAGUCAGUUCAAACCAAACUCUCUACUGCAAAUAGACCUCACAAAUUUUGUUUAAUUUUUUUUUAAAUUUAGCAGAAAAUACUUAAAGAAAUUCUAAUUAUUGACUGAAAACCACUUUUGUUUAAUCCUGACAUUAUCUUUGAUUAUGUGGAUUAGGUGACACAAGUGUUAUACUUGAGAUUUUUAAAAUGUACUGAAAAUGUACCACAAUCAUUAAAUAAUUGCAGCUAUACAACCUGACAGUUCAUUUUCAAUGAUUACAAUACAUACAUGUAUGUACCUGAAUGCUGUAUUCUGUGCAAGUUGGUUAAAAUAAUCAGCUAUAUAAUAGACUGGUGAAACAAACUGUUCACACCAUCAAUUUAUUAAUGAAAAACAUCUGUGUGCUGUUAAAUUGUACUUGUAACAUUUGGUGCUCAUAUGUCUCUAAAAAAAAUGAAAGAAUUGUUUGUACUAAGAGAGUCAACUGCAUUCAUUUAAAAAAAAAGUUAACAAAUGUAUAAGGAUAUUCGGAAUUUAUUAAAGAAAAAUGUGUAUUGAAGAUAACGCACUCUUAAAGCAUUCUUUCUUAUGUCUAAGUUUCCCUUCGUUGAAUUUUAGGUGUUUCAUUUUAAGUGCACCAUUUCAGGAUUACUUGUAGAAUUUUUUAGUUCAUGAAUUUUUUUUUUUUUUUUUUUGAACACGAAAUCGGGUUGCGAAAUUUUAACCACGGGAAUUGGUCAAAAUGGCUGACCACGGCAAUGGGGUUAAAUUGACCACGGAAUUGGGUUAAAAAU